CCUACGGGGGGCAGCAGUGAGGAAUCUUGGUCAAUGGUCGCGAGCCUGAACCAGCCAAGUAGCGUGAAGGAUGACUGCCCUACGGGUUGUAAACUUCUUUUAUAAAGGAAUAAAGUGAGGCACGUGUGCCUUUUUGUAUGUACUUUAUGAAUAAGGAUCGGCUAACUCCGUGCCAGCAGCCGCGGUAAUACGGAGGAUCCGAGAGUUAUCCGGAUUUAUUGGGUUUAAAGGGUGCGUAGAUGGGUUGUUAAGUCAGUUGUGAAAGUUUGCGGCUAAACCGUAAAAUUUUAAUUGAUACUGGCAGUCUUGAGUACAGUUGAGGUAUGCGGAAUGCGUGGUGUAGCGGUGAAAUGCGUAGAUAUCACGAAGAACUCCGAUUGCGAAGGCAGCUUACUAAACUGCAACUGACAUUGAUGCGCGAAAGUGUGGGUAUCAAACAGGAUUAGAUACCCUGGUAGUC
rnacentral:rRNA from 1 species